rnacentral:rRNA from 1 species
GGGGUGGGCAGCACCGAAGGUGAAAGUCCCGUCCGACCCCGUGGCUCGCCUGUACGGCACGCUUCCACGAAUCGUGUUCCUUGAAAAUGGAGCGCAAAGUGGGUGGUAAAUCUCAUCCAAAGCUAAAUACGGGUUCGAAAUUGAUAGCAAACAAGUACAUGAGGGAAAUGUGAAAAGGACUUUGAAAAGAAAGUUAGAAGUGCCUGAAAUUGUUGAAAGGAAAGCAAACGAAAUCGAUCUUGUUGAGGUAGAUUGCUUCAUGUGCGGGGGGAAGGUGAUGUUGCACACUUGCUGCAUUGUUCCCCUGCUCCUCACACUUGUGGUGUGUCUGCCUCUACAUAUCAAACAUCAUUUGGGUCUUGCCAAUGUGCAUGGUGCAAGGGAUUUCAACUUUUUGAAUGAUUGCUCCUUCGUCUGGCAUCCUGUUUGAUUGCUUUGCACUUGGGUUUCAUGGGUCACUUGUGUGCUCAUGCAUCCUUGGUGCUGCUUUUGAUGAUGAUAUUUCUUUUGACCCGUCUUGAAACACGGACCAAGGAGUCUAACGCAUGUGCGAGUUUAUGAAUUUAAAUUUCUUGGCAUAAUGAAAAUGACAGGUGGGAUGUGUGCACCAACAACCAACCAAUCAAUUGUGAGAGGUUUGAGCUUGAGCAUCUGUGUUAGGACCCGAAAGAUGGUGAACUAUGCUUGAGAAAGGUAAAUU